GGCGGGGUUGGGGAAAUAUGUUCUGGAUUGGUGGAUAGGCCCUCCUGUAUAGAUGAAAAAUGUGCUAAGGUCGAACCAUGAUGGUGAUUGUGGUCAAGUGUUUGAAAGUACUAAGCUCAUACCUAGUAUGGGAUGGGGAAGCCUACUACUUGAUUGAACCGGGACGUGGGCAUACUCCCUGCUCUCUCUAGAACUGGGUUCCCAUGCGGCCGCAUGUGGGUACAAGUGCAGCCACGGUACGACAUCAUUCCGGGACCGUUAGUGUCG
rnacentral:lncRNA from 1 species